rnacentral:rRNA from 1 species
AGGACGAACGCUGGCGGCGUGCUUAACACAUGCAAGUCGAGCGGAAAGGCCCUUCGGGGUACUCGAGCGGCGAACGGGUGAGUAACACGUGAGUAAUCUGCCCCUAGCUCUGGGAUAGCUCCGGGAAACCGGGAUUAAUACCAGAUACGACCACUUUAGACAUCUGUUGUGGUGGAAAGAAUUUUGGUUAGGGAUGAGCUCGCGGCCUAUCAGCUUGUUGGUGAGGUAACGGCUCACCAAGGCGACGACGGGUAGCCGGCCUGAGAGGGCGACCGGCCACACUGGGACUGAGACACGGCCCAGACUCCUACGGGAGGCAGCAGUGGGGAAUAUUGCGCAAUGGGCGAAAGCCUGACGCAGCGACGCCGCGUGGGGGAUGAAGGCCUUCGGGUUGUAAACCCCUUUCAGCAGGGACGAAGCGAAAGUGACGGUACCUGCAGAAGAAGCACCGGCCAACUACGUGCCAGCAGCCGC